UGUAUGACCCCAACCAUGAGCAAUAAAUCCUCCUCCAAGGCUCCAACCCUUCUCAGCUGGAGCACACAAACACACAACCGCAUUGCUUCUCUUCCACACCUCUUUCUCUGUCAACUGCUUGGCGCAUGCUCACACGCUACAGACUACUAGUCACUAGAGCACUAGACCACAGCCAGCUAUAGCACAUCGAUCUCUUGGAAAGGAUGAAGAGAUCAAAUCCCCCUUAACUCCCCAAAAGAUUUCCUGACCCCAAAUCUCCAUCUGCUGCAGCUUCUGCAUACACACACUGCCAGGUCUCCAUGUCUGGCCCCUGAACCAGCUCUCUCUCUCUCUCUCCCUCCCUCUCUCUCCUAGGCUGCUCCGCCUCCUGCCCUCCUCGGCCUUUUUAUUCACCACAGCACCUGUGCACUACCACACACACUCCCCUCACAAAGGUGACCAACCUCUCGAGUUGGGGGAAGCUGGGCGUUUCUUCCUUAGCGCCGCUGGCUACCUGGCUCGAUUGUGUUUCUCGCUCGCUAGCCCAACGGAAGGCAUGAUGGAGCUCGCGAUGGAGAGGAGGAGCUCUGCGAUAACCAAGCAGCCCCGUGAGCUUCAGAUGUUCACAUGGCAUGAAGACCCAAGAGCGCGUGCACCUUGGCUGCCGGGAGCAAUGGUUCAUGUCUAGUUCUAUCACGGCGUUAUCCUGAUUGAGCUUUUCAUUCAAACCACCAUCCUCAUCUUUCUUCAUAUUCUCACCAUCGUAAUGUUUGAAAUCUUGCAAAACUAGAUCUUCUUGACCUUGCAAGACCUUUUCUUGACCUUGUAAGACCCAACUUUACGAUGCUUCUUUUCUUUAGCUCGAUCUUCUCUACCUCGCAUCUUCCUCCUCAUUCUUCAGCCCUUCCUCCGUCUAUCCCUCUUGAGCUGUGUUCCCAGGUUUAGUAGUAGCUUAGAUAUCAGUAUCAGUAGCUAUAUAGUAAUAUAGUAUAUUGAUGUGGUGUGGUGCUUCUCAUAUAGUCAUGUGUGCACUGUUAUGAAGUGUGAACUCAUCGUGUAAAACCAUCCCUUCCAUUGUAUAUUUUGUUUGUUUUGAUUGUAGAGUGCAGUAGAUGAGACACAAAAGCAUGUUCCUGUUGCGCCAUGAUGCUCAGGCAUGUGAAGUAGGCUCCUACUUGUAAGCUAGCUUCGUAUGUAUCCCAUCAGUGGAAUAAGUAGGCUGUGUGCUGCUUGAAACAUUUUGGAUCCAUGUGCUUA